CGGCGGUCGUAAAAGGGCCCCGGCGGCGAGCGCGGGCUGCCGGUUGCUAGGGACUGUAAGGGUGACACGUCUCUCUGUCUGUCUGUCCCCGGGCCUGCGUGGGCCUGGCUGGGGGGUAGGGAGGGGCACGGCGGGUAGGUCGGGCUCCCCGAGUCCUGCUCCCGCCCCUUUGCCCCGCCGGCGACGGCAGAGCGAGGCAGUGAGGUCCUGCCAGCCGGCGGCAACCGGCUCGGGAUGGAGUCACCGGGAGCAGAGGAGGGAGGCAGUUAAAAAUAGCAGGAAGCCUCGGUCUCCAGAAGUGUGUGGCCGCUGCCCACGUGUGGAAAGUGAAGGUUACGUAAGUCCCCUCCGUGUGCACGCUGGAGGAGCGUCAGCUGGGACCUGGCGGGUGCAGGAGUGCAGAGCGAGCUGAGCUAAAGGAAAAGGCCUGGCUCUAUCUCCGUCACUGACCCUCUGCUCAGCCCAUUGGGACACCUAACCUAGUUCAAGGAGCAAAGGAUGAAGGGCUCCAGACUAGAGAAUAAAGCCACUUGAAGUGGGGCCGGUCUGCCUCAGCUCAAUACAACGCUGAGUCCCCGUAGCAGGAAGGAAGCCACAGGGCCACCUUGGGUUCCAAGGACUCAGCCUCAGUGGGACUGGUUUCUAAACGAAACAAAAGCAAGUAAGCUGACAUUUGCCAGCUAAACUGUGAUGUCGGAGGGUGGCUGACCCGGCCAGCUGACCCAGUGCCUGGAAGCUGAGGCUGGAGGAGCGCCGUCCACGGUGUCAUUAGAUACCAAAGGUGCUAGGUGGUGCUGCCGGCAACAGAUAAGAUAAGGGGUCUCCAGUGCUCACACCUCCACAGCAUCGCGGACGCUGAAUCGGGAGGGAUGCAUCCAUCGCAGGCUCUGCUCUAUGCCAGGAGGAGGAUGACCAAACAGAGAUUCCCGGGAGGUAGACAGGACAAUUGCCAUGCUUCCUUGAGACGGUGAGGUUCAAUCCCUGAGGGACUCUGUGCUCAGAGGCUGGGGAAGGUCAGCUAUGUAGACGGCAGAGCCCGGGGCCACAGGGCCAGGCAUCCCCAUCUCAGGGGGGAGGUUCUAGAAGGGCUCCAGUCAGGGAUGCAGGACAGGCAAGCACAGAACUGGCUGGAAGGGGCCCUGGCACUUACAGGAAAAAGGUGCCACAAGCAUCUCCAUGGGCCCCCUGGUCCCAGAGGCCACAAUCAAACCCUGAGGCUGUAGAAGACACCAUGUUCCCUUCAGCAAGUAACUGUUUUCUUUAAAAAAUAAAAUAAGAUUAAUGGUGCAUGCUCAUUGUACACGAUGCUAUUUAAAAAAAGACAUUUUCAUACAAAUCUGUAUUGUGUAUCAGGUAGGUUCCUCCCAUGGCCCCUACUCUCUCCCUUUUCUCUUUUUGAAAAACAACUUCUGGAUUUUUCCCAGGUCCUAGUAGACUCUAAAAGCCUGGUCAUGGGAUCCAACACAGCCUGAUAGUUUACAAAACUCAGCAAGCACACUUGGAUUUGGAUGUGCCCAGCAGGGGUGCCAUGACUUGGGAGUGGAUAUCUUGUCAUCCAGCUGGCCAGGUCCCCAAGCACAGCUACCUGGUAUGGGAAAUAGCCUGUGCCGGGGAAACCUGCCCACUGUACUUUGCCUGAGGCCUCAGGAGGUGAGGGUGCUCUCUGGCUAGCAAGUCUGAUUUGUAGCCAGCUCUAUAGAGCGAACACCUGAAGGUACUGAGCUACAUUCUGGGCUCUCCACAGUGGGGAAUGGGUAGAGGCCCCUCCCAGAACUGCCUUGCCUAUAGUAAAUUAUUAUCAGUGGCUCUGCAACACCAAGAACAGAUAACUGCCCGGAUCGAGCAGGGGUAGAAACCAGGAAAUCACAAGGAAAGUUUCUGCUGUUCUUUGGAUCUGGAAUUUCCCCAAGGGCUAAUAUACUAAAGGCCUUUAGUCCUUAUCUUAAAGCUAUGGGGGAAAUAGAAGCUUUAGAACAUGGGGAGGUUAUUGGAGACAUGCCCUGAACGAGGGUCAUGACACUCAGUUCUUCUUUCCCUCGUGUUCUAGCCACGAGCUUCCUGUGCCACAUGAGCCCACUGUGGGAGCUAUGCUACCACACGGUCAGAGCAAUGGGACCCAUCAUAGACUGAAUUCUCUACAGCUGAACCUUUCUUGUUUUUAAUGAUUUCUGUUAUUUUGACACAGUAACAGAAAGCUAGCACAAUUUCCAAACAAGUCAAGUCAUAGGUAGGAAAAGGAACAUGGGGACACUAAAUCAGUUGGGAAUACCAGUGGGCCCUACUUAGGGGAUAGGACUAUCUGUGGUAGCUGUUUGAGUUUCCUGGAGCUGCUACAACAAACUCCCACCAAUGGAUGGCUUAACUAGACACUGUUCUCAGAGUUGUGGGGGCUGGGCAUCCAUGACCAAGGUGUCAGCAGGAGUAUUGGUCACAUUUCCGCCAACCUGUUCAGAACACCUAAAGAAAACAGAGGAGGAAAGAUUUAUUAGCUCACGGUUCAGUCCGUCAUGACAGGGAAGGCAGAGCAGAGGGGCUUAUUCAAAAGAGCAUGGACUGGAGUGGCUCACAUCACAGCAGACCAAGAAACAGCGAGACGGCCAGAUCCAGGGCUGGGCGUCACUGUCAGUGGCCUGCCUUUCACGACCUACAUUUGUUGUGGAACAUUAAGUUGUGUUACAUUUGUUUACACUGUGGAACAAUUGCUCUUAUAAUGAUGCAAAGAUUUGCUGCGUUCUUUGACGUUGCAUUUGUUUAACUCUGUGAAGCUGUGGUACUGUGCCUGUC